rnacentral:lncRNA from 1 species
GCGCGCGGGCACCGUUAAUGCGCGGGUGCCCGGGAGCUGCGGCCUCGGGGCCCGCGGGGCUUUGCGGCUUGGCGCCGGCUGUCCUCUCCUCAUUUCCCUCGCACGCCUCCCCUCCCCAGCGCCCGGUCCGGUCGGCGGCGGAUCCCCCAGCGGCCGGGGUCGGGAGCCGAGGCCGCACACACCCGCGCGGUGGGACGGAGGCCGCCAUGCCGGGUAAAGGGAAGAGAGGCAAAGGGCUGGGCAAGCCCCGCGGGAAGAAGCAGAAGAAGCCGGAAGUGGACAUCCUGAGCCCUGCCGCCAUGCUGAACCUGUACUACAUUGCGCACAACGCCGCGGACUGCCUACAGCUGCGUGGUUUCCGCUGGCCCGGCGCGCCCAGGGGGAAAAGGGGCAAGAACAAGACCUAAGGGAACAGAGACUGGGAUAACUGGACAACGACUGCAGCAAAAUAGAUUUUACUGAAGACAUUUGGAAACGCAUGCUCAGCGUGCUUUUCGGUGGUAAAUUAGGAUUUAAUGCAUUUUACUUCCUCGGUGAAGCCAGGUAUAGCUAAGGGGAGGUUUUUCAAGUUAAGGGAAACAAGUCUGAGUAAUUCUUACACAGUGUGGUGGAAUUCAUACUACUUUUAAUGAUUCUGCGCCAGAAUUAAACCUUGCUCUCGAAAGGCAGUUCCAGUUUGCAUGAUUUGUUUUCUUUUGCAGAAGGGAGUUUGUUAUUUAGAGAAGACACAGCACAUGCUCAGGCUUUACUUAUGAACAUCCCUCUCCGGCACUGUUUUUGGUUUCUGUUUUUCUCCUGGUGCAGGGGAUGCUAUGGCAAAAGCACACAGCAAACUGCCUGAUGGAGUCACUCCCUUAAUGUCACCUGCUGUUGGCUGGCGAGGUGGCCCUAGCCUGUAAUCCCAACACUCGGGAAGCUGGGGCAUGAGAACUGAUGUGAGUUCAAGGCCUGCUUGGGCUACCUAUUGCACGGCCAGCCUACAUGAAGACCCUGCCUCAGAAACCAAAAUAAAUAAAAAGUGUGUGUGUACCUUCCAAUCCUCCACUUGUGGUGAUUGAGCAUGUGGAAUGUGGCUUUGCAACUAGAGAACUGAACUGAUUUGAUUUCCUUGUAAUUGAUUUAAAUUGGAC